rnacentral:tRNA from 1 species
CAUUAGGUGGCUGAACAUAAGCCUUGGUCUCUUAAACCAUUACAUAGUAAAUUUUACUCCUAAUGA